UAGUGAUAUAGAUUGGCGCCCAAGUCUGAAGCAGAAUAGGAAUACAAAAAGUUUCAAAUCUCUCUCUCACAGAGAAUCUCAGGCACCACCAAACCUCACCUCCUCACCGCAGUCGCUCACCACCAUGAAGCAGACCUGCAUUGCACAUCGCCACAGCCACCGCCACAAAUCACCACCCUCUCUCUCCAUUUCUCACUCUUGCUCUAGGGUUUGAUAUUCUUCCUUUAUUUCCCCCAUUUCUCACUCUUGCUCUAGGGUUUGAUAUUCUUCCUCUAUUUUCCCAUUUCCAACUCUUGCUCUAGGGUUUGAAAUGAUUUAUUUAGUUUAAUUUUGUGUUGAUUUCUUAAAUGGGUUUAGUUUAAUUGGUUUGAUUUCUAGAGUUUUAUGGGUUUGAUGUUGAUUUCAUAAUUUCAUGAUUCAUUUGACUGGGUUUGUGUUUGUUCUUCUGUGAAAUUUCAAAACUCUUUGUUUCAGAUUUUGAUUCUUAAGUUGAUGGUUGGUGCUAUCUUUUCUGUCUCAAAAGGCAUAUAUGUAUGGGGUUCUUUAAGAACAAGCGCAUUGUCCUUUACGACACUUUGAUUCAAUAGAUUCUCACAUUCUUGCAAUUUGGAGGAUACACUCUUGUGAGGAACUAGAAGGAUCUAUUUCAGAGUUUUGGGGAUGACACACAACCAGUCCUCAUUGGCCUGAUCAUUAUCCAGGUAUUUAUUCAUCAAAUAAUAAAUGUCACGGAGGAAUGCUGCAUGUGCAUGAGUUGAGCACAUUAUAGCACUAGACUUCUUGUCAAAA